UACGUAGGGUGCAAGCGUUGUCCGGAAUUAUUGGGCGUAAAGAGCUCGUAGGCGGUUUGUCGCGUCGGCUGUGAAAACUCGGGGCUCAACCCCGAGCCUGCAGUCGAUACGGGCAGACUAGAGUGCGGUAGGGGAGACUGGAAUUCCUGGUGUAGCGGUGAAAUGCGCAGAUAUCAGGAGGAACACCGGUGGCGAAGGCGGGUCUCUGGGCCGAUACUGACGCUGAGGAGCGAAAGCGUGGGGAGCGAACAGG
rnacentral:rRNA from 1 species